rnacentral:lncRNA from 1 species
GAAAACAGUUCUUUUGGUUAAUAGGAGAGAAAAACUUCUUAUGGAAUUAGGUGUGCUAGGCCUUUAAUACUUGGAUGCAUAUUGUGUGCUUUUAAGACCACAUGUAGAUAGUAACUUCCCUGUCUGGUAAUAACGUUCAGCCAUUUGUCUUGGUAAGUAAUUAAAGCACCCUCCUGCCCUCCUACCUUGGGCCUCUAGUGACGAUGUGGAUCUAGGGAGAGCAAGCUACGUGUUGCUGUUAGAGUGAAUUUGUUCCCUAACCCAUCCCCGUGAAUAUCAAUGCUAACAACAGUGUCUUGUGUGUGGACGGACUGAGGGGCUUCUGGCUCAGGCGGUGGGGCUCACACAUGUUGCUUUUUUUGAUGUCUCCCAUUGUGAAUGACUUCAGGCUGGUCGCCCCAGGCUCCUGUUGUCUCGUAAGAACCGGCAUUUGCACCGAGCCAGCAUCAGCAGCCCACGCAUGCCUUUUUUCUGCCUGAGCUCACGUACACUCUCUGCCUCGCGCUGGGAGGAUUUCUCUCCCCUCUAAUAUC